UACGUAGGGUGCAAGCGUUGUCCGGAAUUAUUGGGCGUAAAGAGCUCGUAGGCGGUCUGUCGCGUCUGCUGUGAAAACUCAGGGCUUAACCCUGAGCUUGCAGUGGGUACGGGCAGACUAGAGUGCGGUAGGGGAGACUGGAAUUCCUGGUGUAGCGGUGAAAUGCGCAGAUAUCAGGAGGAACACCGGUGGCGAAGGCGGGUCUCUGGGCCUUACCUGACGCUGAGGAGCGAAAGCGUGGGGAGCGAACAGG
rnacentral:rRNA from 1 species